CUUUGAGAGAAUUAAUAUUAUGCGUGCCGGUUAAGAUUGUUCGUAUAAGAUGACCCAGGAGAUAUAAUUAAUAUAGCACCAACAAUCUUGGGUCGAAAGUUUCGCCAAAGCCGAGACCAAGAAAUGAACGUGUCCAGUACAAAACAAAACAAUUAUAUUUAUUUUUACCAUGCAAAUCUACAAGGACAAGGUCAAGGAUCUUAUUAAUGUGCUUUAUGACAAUACCAAUGGUGUCGAGAUAACGAAAUAUCUUUAAAAAGUCCAAUACAUUGAAACAAAACCCCACAAAAUGCUUGAAAACGUGACUAUCUUUCUAUCUAUAUUACAGCAAAUAAAAAUAUUUCGAAACUCAUUAAAUCUCUAUUUAGCUUUCGCGUAAUUGCCUCAAUACAAUGUCUUGUCUUCUGUGAUAUUUGCCCAUGGCCAUAUGUAUGGCCAUGAAAACAGGCGAGCUACUGCAAUGACAACGAAAUUCAAGUCAGCGUUCUGGGCAGAAAGAGCAUGUAAAACUGUAAAAUAAGUUCACUGGACAACUAGCUUAUAAUUUUUUGUUCUCGAUAUAUGUAAAUUAAAUAAAUCUAUGACAUUAUGCAAGGGAGUAAAAUACUAGUUUCAAACGUAGUAUAGUCUCGUCAAAGGUUCAAAUGAUGAAAUAUUUCAAACCAUAUACAGCUAAUUCAAAAAAGGUUUUCCUUUGAAAAACCUUAAUCUGUUUAGAAAGCGG